rnacentral:rRNA from 1 species
AAGCCGGCUAGUACGGUGAAACCGCGAAAGGCUCAUUAAAUCAGUUAUGGUUCCUUAGAUCUUACCCACGAUACUUGGAUAUCUGUGGUAAUUCUAGAGCUAAUACAUGCCGACAGAGUUCCGAGCGGUCGCGCGAGUUUACUCGUCGCGAUACGCGAGGGGCGUUUUUAUUAGAUCAAAACCGGCCAGGUGACGUUCGCGUCAUCAGCGGCUCGCGUAUAGAUUUGGCGAUUCUGAAUAACUUUGAGCUGAUCGCACGGUCUUCGUACCGGCGACGUAUCUUUCAAAUGUCUGCCUUAUCAACUGUCGACGGUAGGUUCGACGCCUACCGUGGUGGUAACGGGUAACGGGGAAUCAGGGUUCGAUUCCGGAGAGGGAGCCUGAGAAACGGCUACCACAUCCAAGGAAGGCAGCAGGCGCGCAAAUUACCCACUCCCGGCACGGGGAGGUAGUGACGAAAAAUAACGAUACGGGACUCUUAUGAGGCCCCGUAAUCGGAAUGAGUACACUUUAAAACCUUGGUCACACGAGGAUC